rnacentral:rRNA from 1 species
GCAAAACGCGAAGAACCUUACCUACUCUUGACAUCCACGGAACUUUUCAGAGAUGAAUUGGUGCCUUCGGGAACCGUGAGACAGGUGCUGCAUGGCUGUCGUCAGCUCGUGUUGUGAAAUGUUGGGUUAAGUCCCGCAACGAGCGCAACCCUUAUCCUUUGUUGCCAGCGGUUAGGCCGGGAACUCAAAGGAGACUGCCAGUGAUAAACUGGAGGAAGGCGGGGAUGACGUCAAGUCAUCAUGGCCCUUACGAGUAGGGCUACACACGUGCUACAAUGGCGCAUACAAAGAGAAGCGACCUCGCGAGAGCAAGCGGACCUCAUAAAGUGCGUCGUAGUCCGGAUUGGAGUCUGCAACUCGACUCCAUGAAGUCGGAAUCGCUAGUAAUCGUGGAUCAGAAUGCCACGGCGAAUACGUUCCCGGGUCUUGUACACACCG